rnacentral:lncRNA from 7 species
UUUCAGAUUCCUCUCGUUCAUCAGAAUGGUUCAAGAUGCUGGGCAAAAUAAAGUCUGAUACAUUAUAAUUCAAUGAAAAUUCAAUGGUUUCGUGGCAGCUGCAUUUCAUGGUUCUCUGCAAAACCACCUGGAAAACAUCCGUCCUCUGAAAGUGAUAUUCUUAAGAGGGCCUUGCAGACUCAGAUUUGCAGGUUGCUGAAUGCUGCUAAAUUGAAAACGACCUUAUUUGAAAGUAAAUGGAUGCCGUCAAUCCUUUAAGAAUAUCAAAAGCUACAGUACAAACAGCUCACAAAAUGUAAUGGGUGCCUGGAGAACCAGCUGUAAAGCUGCAGUGCUAGUGUAAUCUGUUGAAUUCUAGUCAUAUAGAAGAUUUUGCGCAUCACUUUCAAAAUGGUGUUGUGCUGAAUGCCUAUUUUAAAACUUUACUGAAUAUAUGAUUACUUGUGCUAAUUGAAAGAGACAAGACCUGCAUUUAUUGGAAUUGUGGUUAAAUACUCCCAGUACCCAUUUUCCCCCUAUGAAGUUGCCAAGGAGAAAACCACAUAUGUUAAGUUUUAAUCUGCUUUUCCCAAAUGUGGAUACAUUUAAAAGAUGGCUGAUAAAGUAUCAUUAGGAUUUUCCAAUGAUGGUUUAAAAUAAUAUACCUUUUAAAGAGGGAUAAUAAAUUAUGAAUGUUCAUGAUAAAGUCACUCAUGAAGUCUCACAGGGUUCUGUCCAUGGACCUAUGUUAUUCUGCAUAAAUCUAUACACUUCUGAAUUACUCACAAAAGGAAUAAAUAAUAUCCAUCAUGCUUUUUGGU